ACCCGACCCUCCCAGGGAGUGUCGCCUCCAACCAGACGCACCACGCCAUCUGAAACAUCACCGAAAUCCUCGCUGUGUCCACCAGACGCAGAGCUGUCCCCUGGCGCUUCGGGAGACGGGAUGCAACUCAGAGCUGAACAUGAGAUUCACUUCUCAGUUACAACUUAUUGGCUGUCUGACAGCUGGAGAGGAGAGGAAAACCUGCAGUGAUGCAACGUAAACAAGGUGUUUCCCCUGGAUUGUUCCUGAUCUACACGGCAACUCGUUGCUCUCCCGGUUUCUCCUGCCACUCAAUAUUUCCAGCUCACUCUCUGGAACACAAUCAGCCUAACGAAGCUCUUUAGCAGAUGUAGCUCUGUGCAGUUUUAGAGGAAACGAUGAAAGAAAUUAAGUCCCAUUUAUUGUGUUCACAAAUUCUCUCUAUUAGCCUUAAAAAAGUAAACCAGAAAAUGCAUCUGUUUAAAAGUAAAACUUGAUCAGCCUGUAGAGUAAACUUUAGUUAAAUAUGAAUACAAAGGUUUUCAUUUGAACUAAAAUAAUAACAUUUAUGAUUUGACAGAUUUAACCAGAGAUACAUUAAUUGACUUUUUGUUUUUGUUAAGCUGCCUUUGAUUCAUAAUAAUUGGAACAUUUAUCAAUAUUUGAUGUAUUUUUUCUUUUGAUGACUUUUGACAAAAUGCAAUGUUUAUGUUCCACAUAAUCGGUUACUGUGUUAUGUUUUUAUGGUGUAAAGCACUUGAGCUGCUUUGUCAUGAGACGUUCUGUACAGAUAAACUUGACUAUUAAAAAAAUGAAAUAAAUAUUGGUAUGACAAAAGCA